AGGUCUAAUCUACCAAAAAAAAUUUUAUCCAAUAGGAAAGGAUUUUCAUGUACUGGGAACCAACUAUCAACAAUGCAACAUUCUACAGCAUAGGUUAAUAGUAACAUUGGAUCUGAAAGAUUCUUGGUUGGGGCAAGACACUGAAUAAAUUGUAAUCAUUGGAUGGAUGACAUGACAUUUCUAUACUUCACUCGGAUUCCCGAGACGCCAUCUACCGCUCAGACUCGUUAUUACUGGCGUAGGCAAUUUCAGUCCAUCGGAUGCCAUUCGCAGUUAGUUCAGUAGCGUGGAUGGAGAGAAUAACGCGUGGCUGGAGGAACAAUUGAAAAUUGGAUGAGAUAAUACAACAAA